rnacentral:rRNA from 1 species
AACGAACGCUGGCGGCGCGCCUAAUACAUGCAAGUCGAGCGAGAAGACGUAGCAAUACGUUUGUAAAGCGGCGAACGGGUGAGGAAUACAUGGGUAACCUACCCUCGAGUGGGGAAUAACUAGCCGAAAGGUUAGCUAAUACCGCGUACGCUCCUUGGACUUCGGUUCAGGGAGGAAAGCGAUACCGUGGGUAUCGCGCUCUUGGAUGGGCUCAUGUCCUAUCAGCUUGUUGGUGAGGAACGGCUCACCAAGGCUUCGACGGGUAGCUGGUCUGAGAGGACGAUCAGCCACACUGGCACUGCGACACGGGGCCAGACUCCUACGGGAGGCAGCAGUAAGGAAUAUUGCGCAAUGGGCGAAAGCCUGACGCAGCGACGCCGCGUGGGGGAUGAAGGUCUUCGGA